GCAGCCGGGUGUAAGAGGUAGGGCGCAAUCGUUUCCCCCAAUUAUUGGGCGUAAAGAGCUCGUAGGCGGUUUGUCGCGUCUGGUGUGAAAACCCGAGGCUCAACCUCGGGCCUGCAGUGGGUACGGGCAGACUAGAGUGCGGUAGGGGAGAUUGGAAUUCCUGGUGUAGCGGUGGAAUGCGCAGAUAUCAGGAGGAACACCGAUGGCGAAGGCAGAUCUCUGGGCCGUAACUGACGCUGAGGAGCGAAAGGGUGGGGAGCAAACAGGCUUAGAUACCCUGGUAGUCCACCCCGUAAACGUUGGGAACUAGUUGUGGGGACCAUUCCACGGUUUCCGUGACGCAGCUAACGCAUUAAGUUCCCCGCCUGGGGAGUACGGCCGCAAGGCUAAAACUCAAAGGAAUUGACGGGGACCCGCACAAGCGGCGGAGCAUGCGGAUUAGUUCGAUGCAACGCGAAGAACCUUACCAAGGCUUGACAUAUACGAGAACGGGCCAGAAAAUGGUUAAACU
rnacentral:rRNA from 1 species